rnacentral:rRNA from 1 species
AUUGAACGCUGGCGGCAGGCCUAACACAUGCAAGUCGAGCGGAUGAAGGGAGCUUGCUCCUGGAUUCAGCGGCGGCCGGGUGAGUAAUGCCUAGGAAUCUGCCUGGUAGUGGGGGAUAACGUCCGGAAACGGGCGCUAAUACCCCAUACGUCCUGAGGGAGCAAGUCGGGGAUCUUCGGACCUCACGCUAUCAGAUGAGCCUAGGUCGGAUUAGCUAGUUGGUGGGGUAAAGGCCUACCAAGGCGACGAUCCGUAACUGGUCUGAGAGGAUGAUCAGUCACACUGGAACUGAGACACGGUCCAGACUCCUACGGGAGGCAGCAGUGGGGAAUAUUGGGCAAUGGGCGAGAGCCUGAUCCAGCCAUGCCGCGUGUGUGAAGAAGGUCUUCGGAUUGUAAAGCACUUUAAGUUGGGAGGAAGGGCAGUAAGUUAAUACCUUGCUGUUUUGACGUUACCAACAGAAUAAGCACCGGCUAACUUCGUG